UUAGGACUUGGGAGUCUAGGAGAUCGAACUUGAAUUCAGAGACGCGGUAUUGACAGAGAGCCCGGGUAAAAUACUCUCCCUGUUGUAUAGAGAAAAGGAAACCCCGGAACUCGUGCUUGCCGUCGCUAGGGUUUUCUUCAGGUUCAAUGGAAGUUGAAGAAGAAAUAUAGAGUCAUAGACAGCACAACUGUACUAGCACUCCUGUUCACUCUCCGAAACUGUAUUUUUAUUACUCUGCUUGGAAAGAGGCCUGAUAUGAGAGUAUGGUGGAAAUAGACGGAAUCGAGGAGGACCUUGAAUUCAAGUGGGGUAAAAAGAAAGGAGUUGGAAAGAAAGGAGAAGGUGAAAAACAGAAAGAAGUCCAGUUUUAUCAAUGUUUUACUUAUGACGGCAUGGAGUAUGAUCUGUAUGAUACAGUUUAUCUGCACAAUGAUGAUGGACCUGGACCUUAUAUUGGUAAGCUUAUAGAAAUAUGGGAGAAUCCUGACAAGACAAAGGAAGUGUUGGUUUUAUGGUUUUUCCACCCUUACGAAAUUGAUCUUGAGGUUGAAGGCACAACAAAAAAUGAGUUGUUUUUGGCUUCUGGAGAAGGUGUAGGCCUUGCAAAUGUUAAUCCUUUGGAAGCAAUUGCUGGAAAAUGCGAUAUUAUUUGUACUUCAAAAGACAGUAGAAAUCCACAACCUUCAGAUGAAGAACUUAAAACUGCUGACUUUAUAUUUUACCGUGCCUUUGAUGUUAAGCAUGGUAGAGUUCUGGAUAAGAUAGAGGAAGAAGUUGCUGGGAUUGAAGUGAAAUUUAUAUUUAACAGAGUGGAUGCCCAGGAGCCCAAUGUUGUACUGGAACUUGAUUCAAACAAGAAAGAAGUUUGCGGAAAUGCUGUAGCAAGUAAUAAAACAGAGGUUCCUUUCAAGAAAAACCCAUCUAAAGAGCACACAACUCUAAAAAGUAAUGUAAUUUCUAUUAAUAGUCUACGGAAAGAAAAUGCUGAUACAAAAACUUCCUUGGUUAAACAGAAAUCUUCACUUAGAGAGCAGCCUGCUUACAGUAUAGGUCCUGCUUACAGGAUAGGUGUGGAGUCAGAAAUUUCUAAAACUAAUGAUAGACAGGAGAAUAUUUCCUUAGACAAGUCUGCAUUAAGGUCUGUAGAUUUUCCUAUCAAGGGUGAAGGUCGAGUUGUUAAGAAUCUUGUUAGAAAUGAGGAGAAAUUAAAAUCUUCUCAUGAUUGUAAUGAAAUGGAGGAUAGGCCAUCCGAGAAUGUAAUUUGUGACAGAAUUGAGGAGAAAGUAAAAUCUGUUCAUGAUUGUCGUGAAUUGGAUGAUCGACCGUCUAAGAAGGAAAAGUUGGAUUGUUCUGUUAAAGUAUUUGGUGAUAAGAAAGAGAAGACUGUGCAGAAGUCACCUGUUGAUUUGAAUCGCCAUGAUGCAAGGAGUGUAGGAACUGUAAUUGAUUUUGAGGAUAAAUCUAGGCUUAAACUUGCUAAGGAUUCUCGACGGGUUGAAAAUGGCCCUUUGAAGAAGUUGAAGCUUGAUGAGAAGACAAAGCUUUUUGAUGGUAAGAAUUUUGUCAAAAGUGAGAAAGUAAAAUCUUCUCGGGAUCGUAGUGAGCUGGAGGAUAGGCCAUCUAAGAAGGCAAAGUUUGAUGGUCUUGUUAAAGUAUUGGGGAAUCGGAACGAGAGGAGAGUGCAAAAGUUGGCCGUUGACUCAGAUCCGACAGAUGCAAAGGCGUUGCCAGUUGUAACUGCUUAUGAAGAUAAAUAUAGACCUAAACUUGCUAAGGAUUCUCAAGUGGGUCAAAAAGGCUCUUCCAAGAAGUUGAAGCCUGAUGAGAACACAAAAUUUUCUAAUGGGAAGUUGCCUCGAGCAUCUCCCAGACAGUUUGCAGACGAGGACAAAAAAAUUGAUCACCAGAUAAUGGAAAUUACUCCAAGACCAGAUGAUGAUAAAAGCAAAUGGUUCAGGGCAAUUCCUUGGGAAGACAGAAUGAAAAGUGCUAAUGAGUUAGGAACACUGGUUCUCCUUCAAAAUUUGGAUCCAGCUUAUACAUCAGCAGAAGUGGAGGAUAUUGUUUGGCACGGCUUCAAGGAAAAUUGCAGAGCAAAGAUGAUUCAGCAGACUUCAAUAUCAAGUCCUCAUUGUGGUCAAGCUUUUGUUAUAUUCAAGACAAGGGAGGCAGCAGAGAUCGUUGUUAAAACGUUGGACGAGGGCUGCCUUUGGAUAUCAAAUGGGAGGCCUCUUGUUGGAAGUAUUGGAACUCCUUGCUUCCCUGAGAAGAAACCAACUUUUUUUGGCCAUUUUGCUAUCGAUAAACUUAGAUAUCAGAUGCCAAGGGAAAUGAGAGAAGCUGUAUCUACUUCACAUUGUUCUCAGCCUAACACAAUUGAAUAUGAUAUGGCCAUGGAAUGGUGCUUACUUCAAGAACAAUCAGACUUCUGUUGGAAACUGUUGUAUAAGCAACAAGGGGAGGAGUUGAAAAUGCUCAAGUCCAAUUGAGAACCAGUGGAUUUGGGCUCUUUCUUUUCUUGGUAAGUACUUUCAACACAAAAAAAUGUAUUUCUUCGAAGCAUCCCAUAAUUGUUCCAUCUUGAAUUUGUACAGUACUUUUGUUUCUGUUCAUGCAUUCUGAAUCUCUCGUCAGGAGGCACCCUGAAACAAUGGAAUUUACUUUCUAGCUUUCAUGUAUACCAGAAGCUAUCAAAUUGAUCCCCACCAUCUAUUUUGUGUCUAUUGGAAGAAGACGGAGUAUGUUAGCCAGAGGUCUUGUUUGUGAGUAGUCACGCAAGUUUUGAGAAUAGGUAAAUAUAUUUUGAGGAUGGUUCUGGCAUUUGGAAAUCAAUUGUCUGUCUCGAGGGCAACUUACUGGUCAAGUUGGUUCCCCACAUUUCUAUACCAUGUACAUCGUUGAUGUAUGUUGUAAAACUAUCGUAUCUUGUCAAUCCUAUAAAUAUGUUCAGCCACCCCUUCCCCUGGUUGAUUGGUUUACCGCAUUAUUUAUCGUUGCAUUUUAAUAUGCUGCC